rnacentral:rRNA from 1 species
AAAUUGAAGAGUUUGAUCAUGGCUCAGAUUGAACGCUGGCGGCAGGCCUAACACAUGCAAGUCGAACGGUAGCACAGAGAGCUUGCUCUCGGGUGACGAGUGGCGGACGGGUGAGUAAUGUCUGGGAAACUGCCUGAUGGAGGGGGAUAACUACUGGAAACGGUGGCUAAUACCGCAUAAUGUCGCAAGACCAAAGAGGGGG